UGGGGAAUUUUGGACAAUGGGCGAAAGCCUGAUCCAGCAAUGCCGCGUGUGUGAAGAAGGCCUUCGGGUUGUAAAGCACUUUUGUCCGGAAAGAAAUCCUCUGGGUUAAUACCUCGGGGGGAUGACGGUACCGGAAGAAUAAGCACCGGCUAACUACGUGCCAGCAGCCGCGGUAAUACGUAGGGUGCAAGCGUUAAUCGGAAUUACUGGGCGUAAAGCGUGCGCAGGCUGUUUUGUAAGACGGAUGUGAAAUCCCCGGGCUUAACCUGGGAACUGCAUUCGUGACUGCAAGGCUAGAGUAUGGCAGAGGGGGGUAGAAUUCCACGUGUAGCAGUGAAAUGCGUAGAGAUGUGGAGGAAUACCGAUGGCGAAGGCAGCCCCCUGGGCCAAUACUGACGCUCAUGCACGAAAGCGUGGGGAGCAAACAGGAUUAGAUACCCUGGUAGUCCACGCCCUAAACGAUGUCAACUAGUUGUUGGGGAUUCAUUUCCUUAGUAACGUAGCUAACGCGUGAAGUUGACCGCCUGGGGAGUACGGUCGCAAGAUUCAAAACUCAAAGGAAUUGACGGGGUCAUAGCUGUUUCCU
rnacentral:rRNA from 1 species